GAAGACUUUACCAAGUCUAAUAGCUUUGCUUCCUCUUCAUUCGUCCAUAAUUUGCGCCGAUCAAUUGUUUCCUGAGUACUAGUACCUACAACAAACCUCCAUUGACUCAUGCACGCGGCAGGUGACGUUCCCAGUUUGUUCGCUAUGCUGUUCCACCGCGUUCCCUCUUGUUCAACUAGGGUGUACAGCUUUUUUAGCUCACUUUCCUCCCAUGCAUUCCUAUCUUUCGGAUCCAACGGCUUGUAGAUUUCCUUCAAAUAACGAAUAAUUCCUUUUCUUGAAAUAGAAGUAGGCAGCAAUUCGCGUAGUUCGUUGUAUAGAAAGUUGAUAUUUGUAUGUCUUAAGCUUGAAGAACUCAUCCGGAAGCCAAACUCUUGUAAAUCUACGCCUUCAUUAUUACAAUAAGACAAAACUACUUUUUG
rnacentral:misc_RNA from 1 species